GAUGAAGAACGUAUCGAAAUGCGAUAAGUAAUGUGAAUUGCAGAAUUCAGUGAAUCAUCGAAUCUUUGAACGCACAUUGCGCCCGCCAGUAUUCUGGCGGGCAUGCCUGUUCGAGCGUCAUUUCAACCAUCAAGCCCCGGGCUUGUGUUGGGGACCUGCGGCUGCCGCAGGCACUGAAAUGCAGUGGCGGGCUCGCUGUCACUCCGAGCGUAGUAGUUACAUCUCGCUCUGGGCGUGCUGCGGGUUCCGGCCGUUAAAAGCCUUAUUUACCCAAGGUUGACCUCGGAUCAGGUAGGAAGACCCGCUGAACUUAAGCAUAUCAAUAAGCGGAGGA
rnacentral:misc_RNA from 1 species